rnacentral:rRNA from 1 species
CCCGCAACGAGCGCAACCCCUGCAUUCAGUUGCCAACGGUAAGGCCGGGCACUCUGGAUGGACUGCCGGCGACAAGCCGGAGGAAGGUGGGGAUGACGUCAAGUCAUCAUGGCCCUUAUGUCCAGGGCGACACACGUGCUACAAUGGCCGGCACAGCGGGAAGCGAGGGGGCGACCUUGAGCGGAUCCCUCAAAGCCGGUCUCAGUUCGGAUUGCAGUCUGCAACUCGACUGCAUGAAGUUGGAAUCGCUAGUAAUCGUGGAUCAGCCAAGCCGCGGUGAAUACGUUCCCGGGCCUU